AGAGUUUGAUCCUGGCUCAGCCUGAACGCUGGCGGCGUGGCUAAGACAUGCAAGUCGCACGGGGUAGCAAUACCCAGUGGCGAACGGGUGAGUAAUGAAUCGCUAAUGUGCCCCGGACUCUGGGAUAGCUAGCCGAAAGGUUAGGUAAUACCAGAUGAUAUACCUUUAUCGCAUGAUAGAGGUCUCAAAGGUCCGCCGGUCUGGGAGCAGGCGAUUUCGUAUCAGCUAGUUGGUGAGGUAAUGGCUCACCAAGGCGACGACGCGUAGCCGGACUGAGAGGUUGGCCGGCCACAUUGGGACUGAGACACUGCCCAGACUCCUACGGGGGGCUGCAGUAACGAAUCUUCCGCAAUGCACGAAAGUGUGACGGAGCGACGCCGCGUGUGGGACGAAGCCCUUCGGGGUGUAAACCACUGUCAGGGGAUAGAAAGCUCUGAUCAUCCCCAGAGGAAGGCACGGCUAACUCUGUGCCAGCAGCCGCGGUAAGACAGAGGUGCCAAGCGUUAGGCGGAAUCACUGGGCUUAAAGCGUGUGUAGGCGGAUCGUUAAGUACCUUGUGAAAUCCCACGGCUUAACCGUGGAACUGCUGGGUAUACUGGCGGUCUUGAGCCAACUAGGGGCUACCGGAACAAAUGGUGGAGCGGUGAAAUGCGUAGAUAUCAUUUGGAACGCCAAUGGUGAAAACAGGUAGCUGGGGUUGCGCUGACGCUGAGACACGAAAGCCAGGGGAGCAAACGGGAUUAGAUACCCCCGUAGUCC
rnacentral:rRNA from 1 species